UGAGAGUGCUGUGUAUGAUAUAUGUGAGAGUGCUGUGUAUAAUGUGUGUGAGAGUGCUGUGUAUGAUGUGUGUGAGAGUGCUGUGUAUGAUAUAUGUGAGAGUGCUGUGUAUGAUGUGUGUGAGAGUGCUGUGUAUGAUGUGUGUGAGAGUGCUGUGUAUAAUGUGUGUGAGAGUGCUGUGUAUGAUAUAUGUGAGAGUGCUGUGUAUGAUAUAUGUGAGAGUGCUGUGUAUGAUGUGUGUGAGAGUGCUGUGUAUAAUGUGUGUGAGAGUGCUGUGUAUGAUAUAUGUGAGAGUGCUGUGUAUGAUGUGUGUGAGAGUGCUGUGUAUGAUAUAUGUGAGAGUGCUGUGUAUGAUGUGUGUGAGAGUGCUGUGUAUGAGAGUGCUGUGUAUGAUAUAUGUGAGAGUGCUGUGUAUGAUAUAUGUGAGAGUGCUAUGUAUGAUGUGUGUGAGAGUGCUGUGUAUAAUGUGUGUGAGAGUGCUGUGUAUGAUAUAUGUGAGAGUGCUGUGUAUGAUGUGUGUGAGAGUGCUGUGUAUGAUGUGUGUGAGAGUGCUGUGUAUGAUAUAUGUGAGAGUGCUGUGUAUGAUGUGUGUGAGAGUGCUGUGUAUGAUAUAUGUGAGAGUGCUGUGUAUGAUGUGUGUGAGAGUGCUGUGUAUGAUGUGUGUAAGAGUGCUGUGUAUGAUAUAUGUGAGAGUGCUGUGUAUGAUGUGUGUGAGAGUGCUGUGUAUGAUAUAUGUGAGAGUGCUGUGUAUGAUGUGUGUGAGAGUGCUGUGUAUGAUGUGUGUGAGAGUGCUGUGUAUGAUGUGUGUGAGAGUGCUGUGUAUGAUGUGUGUGAGAGUGCUGUGUAUGAUGUGUGUGAGAGUGCUGUGUAUAAUGCUGUGUGAGUGCUGUGUAUGAUGAGUGCUGUGUAUGAUAUAUGUGAGAGUGCUGUGUAUGAUGUGUGUGAGAGUGCUGUGUAUGAUGUGUGUGAGAGUGCUGUGUAUGAUGUGUGUGAGAGUGCUGUGUAUGAUGUGUGUGAGAGUGCUGUGUAUGAUAUAUGUGAGAGUGCUGUGUAUGAUGUGUGUGAGAGUGCUGUGUAUGAUAUAUGUGAGAGUGCUGUGUAUGAUGUGUGUGAGAGUGCUGUGUAUAAUGUGUGUGAGAGUGCUGUGUAUGAUGUGUGUGAGAGUGCUGUGUAUAAUGUGUGUGAGUGCUGUGUAUGAUAUAUGUGAGAGUGCUGUGUAUGAUGUAUGUGAGAGUGCUGUGUAUGAUAUAUGUGAGAGUGCUGUGUAUAAUGUGUGUGAGAGUGUGUGUAUGAUGUGUGUGAGAGUGCUGUGUAUAAUGUGUGUGAGAGUGCUGUGUAUGAUAUAUGUGAG